GACGAACGCUGGCGGCGUGCCUAAUACAUGCAAGUAGAACGCUGAAGGAGGAGCUUGCUUCUCUGGAUGAGUUGCGAACGGGUGAGUAACGCGUAGGUAACCUGCCUGGUAGCGGGGGAUAACUAUUGGAAACGAUAGCUAAUACCGCAUAAUAGUAGAUGUUGCAUGACAUUUGCUUAAAAGGUGCAAUUGCAUCACUACCAGAUGGACCUGCGUUGUAUUAGCUAGUUGGUGGGGUAACGGCUCACCAAGGCGACGAUACAUAGCCGACCUGAGAGGGUGAUCGGCCACACUGGGACUGGGACACGGCCCAGACUCCUACGGGAGGCAGCAGUAGGGAAUCUUCGGCAAUGGACGGAAGUCUGACCGAGCAACGCCGCGUGAGUGAAGAAGGUUUUCGGAUCGUAAAGCUCUGUUGUAAGAGAAGAACGAGUGUGAGAGUGGAAUGUUCACACUUUGACGGUAUCUUACCAGAAAGGGACGGCUAACUACGUG
rnacentral:rRNA from 1 species